AAUCACCAAGAGCAAACUGGAUAUGUACCUAUUCUCUUUAGAGACUUCUCUAAACUCUUGUCAUCUAUUUUGCACUGAAAUCCUGAUUAUCCUCUCAUGACUAAACCUGAAUAAGACUAAAUCCUUGACCUUGAUGUUGGCUUGCAAGACUAAGACCUUAAUGGAGGAUGCUGGGGAAGCAGCUUCAUUGCCUUGGGAUUUAUGCUCUGAGAAGAGUGAAUAUCCAGACGUGAACCCUUGAGUGAUGCCGUGAUUGAGUCUGCAGGUUAUUAGACAAGAUCUAAGAGGGUGCAAAAAUUACACCUCUGAUGUGAACUUCGGAGAUCAAAGCAGAUCAUCUAAACCAGAUUAUGUAGACAUUUAGAUGUUUGUUUUUUUACCCAUGAACAGUUAAUAAAAUCAACUGUUAGUGUUCUAA
rnacentral:lncRNA from 1 species